GAUGAACGCUGGCGGCGUGCCUAACACAUGCAAGUCGAACGGAGUCGUUUUGGAAAAUCCUUCGGGAUUGGAAUUCUCGACUUAGUGGCGGACGGGUGAGUAACGCGUGAGCAAUCUGCCUUUAAGAGGGGGAUAACAGUCGGAAACGGCUGCUAAUACCGUAUAAAGCAUUGAAUUCGCAUGUUUUCGAUGCCAAAGGAGCAAUCCGCUUUUAGAUGAGCUCGCGUCUGAUUAGCUAGUUGGCGGGGUAACGGCCCACCAAGGCGACGAUCAGUAGCCGGACUGAGAGGUUGAACGGCCACAUUGGGACUGAGACACGGCCCAGACUCCUACGGGAGGCAGCAGUGGGGAAUAUUGCGCAAUGGGGGAAACCCUGACGCAGCAACGCCGCGUGAUUGAAGAAGGCCUUCGGGUUGUAAAGAUCUU
rnacentral:rRNA from 1 species